rnacentral:lncRNA from 1 species
UAGAGGGCAGACACAGUGUAGCCAGCAGUGAGGCCUUCACUGGACUGAAGCAUGCAUGGCCCUUGCCUUUUGGGGGGAGAUCCCUUGCUGCUUGGGACUCUGCCAGCAGAAAGCCACCACUCAAUACAGUCUCUCGUCCUUGGGUCUUUGCGACAGUGAACUGAAGAAGUCCUCUUUUCUUUUGAACUCACCAAGGCACGGAACACAAAUGACCCUUUCCUUGAAGUGGCAUGGUGGCAACUCAUCUUCCUGAAGCAGUGGCCGUCCUCAUGCUCGGAUGAGUGACCAGACACACUCACAGGACCACUGUAUCCCUGCCGUGCCCUUCGGAACUGAUCAGAACAGAGGAUGCAACUAAGCCCUGGCUGACAGGAGUUCUCCAUUAUCAAGUAGAAUCAGGGGUUCAAAUAGAAACCAGGACACUAAAGAAGCAAAAUGACUAUGUGUUUAUGUCUCAAGCCUGUGAUCCAAGUAGUUAGACAUUGCUGGAGCUGGAGGAGGCCUGUGGAUGGAUUUCUUCAGACAAGGGAGGAGCCAAGAGCAGACACUGAACACUGGAGAGAGUAGAUGAGGAGGCCUGGCAGAGCCUCUGUGCGCCGAGAUACAUGGUGGAAGCCGUAGGCACCUCUUCUUAUGGCCCCUACUUCUAGAAAACGAGCAGAAAGCCCACAAGCUGAGAGUGAGGGACAUACUUUAUAGCAGUUCACUUUGUGUUGCUGUAAUAAGAUACCUGCAGUGGAUGGUGUUAACGUCAACUUGCCACAAGUCAAUAUUAUUACCUGAGUAGGGAGCCACAUCUGAGGAGUUGUCCUGAUUCCUUAACUGAUGUGAAGAGCCACCCCAAGUGUAGGCAGCAUGUCCAGGUAGCAACCCAACUGAAAAGGAGCAUAGCAGAGGGGAGGUUGCUUGCCUUCCAUUCACUUGGUCUUCCUUCUUGCUGUUGAGUUGAUUUAUGCUCCUGGUGCUGCUGCUGCUGAGGAAGAGGAGGAAGAAGAAGAUCGCCAGGAGCCUCUGGGGACCAGAAGAGGAAGAUUCUGGCUCAAAUGUGAUACAUUUGGGCAUCAAGCCGCCAACGGGUAGACUGGUGAAGGUUGAUACCAUCAGCUGGACAGGAUCUAUAAUCACCUAGGUGACCGUGCUCUGGGAAUGUCUAUGAGGGAGUUCCUAGACUGGAUUACAUAAGGUAGAGAAAGACACACCCUGUGAGUCGUGCCUUUCCAUCAGCUAGGAGCCUGCACUGAAUUUGAAGGAGAACGCAGGCCAAGAACUUGUAUUCAGUUCUCUUUGCUCCAUGACCAUGGGUGCAAUGUGACCGUUGCACCUCACAGCUGCCUUGGCUCCUGCUGCUACGUGCUCCCCACCAUCACAGACUAUCCUCCCCA